rnacentral:rRNA from 1 species
UACAGAGGGUGCGAGCGUUAAUCGGAAUUACUGGGCGUAAAGCGCGCGUAGGCGGCUCGAUCAGUCGGGUGUGAAAUCCCUGGGCUCAACCUGGGAACUGCAUUCGAUACUGUCGAGCUAGAGUGUGGGAGAGGGUAGUGGAAUUCCCGGUGUAGCGGUGAAAUGCGUAGAUAUCGGGAGGAACAUCAGUGGCGAAAGCGGCUUCCUGGUCCAGCACCGACGUUCAGGCACGAAAGCGUGGGGAGCAAACAGG